ACGCACGCAGGCGGCGUGCCUUAUACAUGCAAGUAGCACGCUGAAGGAGGAGCUUGCUUCUUUUGGAGAGUUGCGAGCGGGUUGAGUUUACGCGUAGGUUAACCUGCCUGGUUAGCGGGGGAUUAACUAUCUGGAAACGAUUAGCUAAUACCGCAUUAAGAGUAGAUGUUGCAUGACAUUUUGCUUAAAAGGUGCAAUUGCAUUCACUUACCAGAUGGACCCUGCGUUGUAUUUAGCUUAGUUGGUGGGGUAACGGCUCACCAAGGCGACGAUACAUAGCCGACCUGAGAGGGUGAUCGGCCACACUGGGACUGAGACACGGCCCAGACUCCUACGGGAGGCAGCAGUAGGGAAUCUUCGGCAAUGGACGGAAGUCUGACCGAGCAACGCCGCGUGAGUGAAGAAGGUUUUCGGAUCGUAAAGCUCUGUUGUAAGAGAAGAACGAGUGCGUAGAGUGGAAAGUUCACACUGUGACGGUAUCUUACCAGAAA
rnacentral:rRNA from 1 species